rnacentral:rRNA from 1 species
UACGUAGGGUGCGAGCGUUAAUCGGAAUUACUGGGCGUAAAGCGUGCGCAGGCGGUUUGUUAAGACAGAUGUGAAAUCCCCGGGCUUAACCUGGGAACUGCAUUUGUGACUGGCAAGCUAGAGUAUGGCAGAGGGGGGUAGAAUUCCACGUGUAGCAGUGAAAUGCGUAGAGAUGUGGAGGAAUACCGAUGGCGAAGGCAGCCCCCUGGACCAAUACUGACGCUCAUGCACGAAAGCGUGGGGAGCAAACAGG